UCAGUGAAACAAGGCUGAAUAAAAGAAAGAAGGCUCGUAACUGUCAGAGCCAGGAGCCCACACAACAGCUGUGUGGGGCCAAAGCACGUGCCUCUAACCACUGCUCUGCUCCUGGCUUUGUUCUGGGGCUGGGCUGGAUUGUUGAGGACUGGGAGGGCCUGGACUGAGACCUAUGAAGUCAGACACCCUCGCCUGUCCCUCGGGACUGGCAGGCUUCUGUACUUUGCUGAGUAGCCAUCUCUCGGGGAGUCACCAUCUCUCUCAGAACCUCGGUUUCCUUCUCUGAGAAAUGGAGACAUUUACACCCAAAUUUAACUUCCAGGGGAUAAAUGCAGUGUCCUGUCUGUCCAGCAGGUGGUGCCAGGGACAUGCCAGUGCCCAGAGCCUGUGGAGUCCUGCCUUCCUGGCUUUCAAUGCUUGUUCCUGGGUACCCACAUUUGGGACAGAGGCAGCCUGGAGGCCGGGGCUGGGACUGUUUGGAUGUUGACAGCUGAGCUGCCACGCACACCAGGGCCUCAGAUCCCUUGCAGGAAACCAGAAUGGAGCUGAAUGUCGCCGCGAGAAUGUUCUUCUGUCGGGCUGGGUCUGAGUCACGGAGGGCUGGGUCUGAUUUGCCAGGAGGGCGCAGCUGAGGAUGCAAAGCCACGCUGGGCUGAGGACACCCACUGUGUCCAGAUCGUCUCCUCACCCCUCAUCCCAGCACAGGAGAUUUGCAGAAGCCCACACAGCCAGACCUCAUUUUAUUGCACUUGGCUUUAUUGUGCUUCGCAGAUACUGCUUUUUUUUUUUUUAACCAGUUGAAGGUUUGUGGUAACCUGGUGUUUUCAGAUGAUGGUUAGCAUUUCUUAGCAACAGAAUAUUUUUAAAUUAUGGUAUGUACUUUUUUUUAGACAUAAGGCUAUUAACACACUUAAUAGACUACAGUAUAGUAUAAACAUAACUCUUGUAUGCACUGGGAAACCAAAAUUUAUGUGACUCACUUUAUUGCAAUUUUUGCUUCAUUGAGAUGGUCUAGAACCAAACCCACAACUUCUCUGAGAUCUACCUGUAUGUGAUUCAACCUAUUUGGGCCCACCUCUUACCCUCACUGGCAUCAUUUAAAAAAUAUUGAUGGAGAGUCUACUGAAUACCAGCCCCUGUUUUCUAGGCCCAAAGUUACAUCAGUGACAAUUUCUUGGAGUUUGUUUUCUGCCGGAAAGAGACAUGAAAAAGCCAGUGGACACGGGUGUGUAAUGUGUCACAUGGCAUGAAAGCCAAUAAGAUAAAUCUGGUAGGAGGACAGGGACAGAUGUGGGAGACUAUUUUAUUUAUUUUUAAUUUUUUUUAUUGAAGUACCAUCAGUUACAAUAUGUCAAAUUCUGGUGUACAGCACAAUGUCCCAGUCAUGCAUAUACAUACAUAGAUUCAUUUUCCUGUUUGGAGACUAUUCUGAUAUCCAUCAGGGAAAGCCUCUCCCAGGCAGACCCCUGAAUGGAGAUGUAAGGAGGAGACAGCUGGUUCCAGGCAAAAGAAACAGCAGGUGUAAAGGCCCUGGGUUAGGAAGUCUCCUGGUGAGAUGGAGGAGGAGUGAGAAGGCCACUGGAGCAGGAAGGGUGGUGAUGAGGAGGAUAUGACAUCAGAGCGGGCAGGGACCAGGGCACAGAGGCGGCUGGUGGUUUUGGAGUUCAUGUCCAGAAUUGGAAAGGCAUUGGUGCAUUUUGAACAAAGAACAAGUGGUUUUCUCAUAUGAAAACAGAGCAAUCAAAACUCCCCACCUACCAGGCCUGCCCAUUUGAGUGUUUUCAAAAAUAAGCUGAGAGUACUCUGCAGAGUGAAACUGGUAUUAUAACAUUUUAUUUCUGUAAUAUGUUGUGCUUCUUCUAUUGUGUUUUAUGAAAUGUGUAGCAUUAUGAUGACAUAUAAUCCUGUUUGUCUGUUCUCUGUGCCGCGUCUCUGAUGAGCUUUAAAGCGGGGGUUUCAGGGUUCUCCUGGAGACAAGGUAUGUGUCUAGUGGGGGAGUUGCAGCCGCUCAGGCUGGUGGUGGGGGUGGGGAAGAGAAACUCUGGAGCCCUGGGGCUACGACUGUGUGACGCCAGUAGGCUGGGGAAGAGGCGGACCUCAUCCCUAAUGGUAACGGGAAUAAUAAGUGACACUGUUCUACACACUUGAUGGGUGUUGUCUACGUCUUCCCAGUAACUCCCUGGGCCGUUACCCCGUGAUAGGGACCGUCAGAGCCAGGGGUACUAACUCAUGUACCUGGACCUCAUGCUGCUGAGACCGCAGCCCACACGGGGGUCACCUCCCCACUGCCCUCCCUCGUGCAUUCUGUCUGGGGGACCCCAGUUCAGCCCAGGUGGUGAAUUGUGGGAUCAGAGCUGUCUUCACGGGUGUGUGACCCAUGUGAUUUCACAGGGAUCUGUGCUCAGAAGAUUCCGUGAUUGGCUUAAGCUCUGCUGCCCCGGACUACAAGUUCUUAAUUUUUGAACAAGGGGCUCGGCAUUAUUAUUGUGCACUGGGAACCACGAAUUAAGAAGGUGGUCUCGCAGGAGGAUACAAGCCAAUCGUAGGGUCCCGCCCCUUUGCCUGGGAUUGGUGGACGUUUACCCACGUCUGACCAAUGAGACGCAAGCGUUGUGCGGUGGGGCUGCUGGGAAAGCCUUUUCUCCCGGAAAGAGGCGGCUCUGAGGAACUGUUCCCCCUGUGCCUGUGCCUUCCUGCUUUGGGUUCUGGCUACUUGGGUACUUCUUUCCACGUCUGCUGCUAACUCCCUAAUCUAGAUAAUCAUCUUUUGCCUAGAAUAUUCCGGUCUCUUCACUGGUCUCCCUGCCCCACACUCCACCCACCCCCCCCCCCGCCUCACCUGCAGCCAGAAGGAGCCUAUUAAAUCUAAGUCAGGCCAUGCCCCUCCUCACUCAGACCCUCCAGGAACUUCCCACCUUACUCUGAGUAGAAGCCCAGGACCCCUUCCCCUAUAAGGCCCUGCUUGAUCCCUGCCCCACCCCCUCUCCGACCUCCUGCCCUUGUUCUCUGCUCCUCACUCACUCUGUUCCAGCCACCUUGGCCUCACUGUUCCUCAGACUCACCAGACAACUGUCUCAGGGCCUAUGCACGAGCUGUUCCCUGUGCUGGGAUUGUUCUUCCCCAAGGAAUCCUCAUGGUUCCCUCCCCUAGUCCUUCAGGUCUCUGUUUGUGAGUCAGGGAGAGCCGGAGUGGGAGCCUGGGCUGGGACCCUGAUGACUCAGCGGAGCCCCUUCCAGCCAUGGUCCUCCUGCUCCAGGAUUCUCAUUGAGAGAGGUAAGGAAGUGCCAGGUGUUGGCACCUUCACCAGUGUCAUCUCCCAUUACUGCGGCUGAAAUCCUCUCACGGGGACAGUGGCUGGAAUUUGCACCCAGGGUUCCAGCUGGGGUAUGAGGGGGUGGGGGUAGUUGGAGGCAGGACCUCGGCUCCUGUCCCCGAAUUACUGCAGUGGCAUUCAGCUCUUCCACCUUCCUGCCCAGAAGUCCUGAGGGGUCCAAUCCAUGAUUCAGUCCCCUCCUGGGCGAGCCUUACCCAGCCUUUGCCAGCAUGUGGGGAGGGCACUGCCCUGUACUGCUGUUUCCCUUCCAGCACUUUUCAGGCCCAGGUUCCUGGUGCAGAACUGUCGCAGCAUCCCCACCAUGUGACCCCUCCAUGUGACCCCUCCCUGCUGCCCUGGGUUUGGCCUCCAGAUCUUUCCAGAUCCUUGCUGUUACAUCGCUCUCUGUCUAAUCAAAGGCAAUCCAUCCUCCCUCUGGCCCAGCUGAGGGACGUGUGCAUCACAGUGCACAAGGGCCAGCGGGUAACCGGGAGCUGCCCGCAGUUACCUAUCUGUGCUUCGUCAGCGCCCUCCUUGAGCUGUGGGGGUAACAAAUGGGGGUGUUUCAGACACCAUAACAGGAGGGGAUGUUCCAGGAACAGGAACACUACAGGCCGCAGGCUGAAGGAGGGCCAGCCCUGUGGGGGCCACACAGAUGUGCCACACUCCUUCCUGGCUUUUGGCCCAAACAGCUCUUAAGAAAGGAACAUGGGGAUGACCCUGGCAGGUGGGACUUGUUUCCAUGGUGUGUGGCUGACAUCGGAGGGUGAUAGAGCUACAGGCUGCUGGGGACCAGCCCGUCAGGAGAGGGGAGGAAGCUCGGGUGCAGGUGACAGGGCUGCCUCUCCAUCCAUCGUGCCACCUGCUGUCAGGGAGCUGGCGGGAGUCCUGACUGCUGUCGCCUACUGGGGCAUGGGAAGGGCUGCCAAGCCUGUGUCCUAGCAGUGGCCAAGCCAGACCAGGGUCCUGUUUGCAGAGCCUCAGCUGUAAAAAAGGGGCCGGAACCACCUGCCUCCCUCACCCAUGAACCUCUCCUCUGUUCCAGUUGAGUCCAACUCAGUAUCUGACCCUGUCUAAUGGUGGAGGCCCAGAAUGUCUGACCCUGCCUGAUGGGCACUAAAGGAAAUUAAGACUCCCUCCUCCCGAUUAAUAGAGGAACAGCAUCCCUGUAUCCGUCUGGGACUGAGAGUCAAUGUGCUGUGCAGUGUUAAUUGAACACCUACUAUGUGCUGGAUACUGUUCAUGUGUGCACGUCAAUUCCCUGAUUCCUCCCAGCAGCCCUGCGAGGAGCACUGUGAUGACCACCCUCCCGUUGUUGUGGAGAUGGCGGAGGGGAUGGAGGGGUUCACUCAGGGUUACAAGGUCAGGAGCAUUAGAGCAGGGAGUUUGGGCACAUGGCGUCUGAUACCAGGUUCUCGCUCCCAGUCUCCAGGCUGGCCCACCGUUCCUGGAGUGAGAGACGCUGUUGCUGAGCCCAGGGCCUGUCAGAGAUCGGAGCCCCAGGAUGAUUCCCUCUGGGGAAGGGGCGCUCCUGGUAUAGAAAAAAUGAAGACAUGGCAGAACAGGGUUGUGAAGACCACGGGCUGAAGAAAUGAAGCUUCCGUGAUGCUGUUCACAGAAUGAGAACUACAUUGAUUAAAAGCAACCACACUAAUUCCAGCUCAUUGGCCAGAACGAAUCGCAUGGCCCAUGGCCGCAGGGGACCAGGAGAUGCAGCCCUGCGGGUGCCCGAGGGUGGACACCAUCAGUGACUUCCGGAGGUUCCCCGGAAGAUAGACCUCAGCAACUGCCUGCCAGUACAUGGUGAGCGGUAGCCAUUGGGGUGGGGAUCCGAGUGGAGGUGAAGGGAGGGGUGGCCCCACCUCCUCCUUCAUGACUCAGGUUCAGUAACGGAUGCCUCAGUGGAGAACAAUGUGGCCUGUAGCUAAUUCUCCUCCCUCAGAUCUCCACUCCUGGGUAAUCCCUGUAAUAGCAGAAAACUAACCUUGUGAGGAGGUAAAAACAGGAUUUGUUUGAUUCUGCAGGAAUCGUGCUUCUGUCUACAUUUCAAUUCCCAAAGAGAAAGUUUGUUGCAGAAAGGACUUCUGUCUUAAUGACAGCCAUAAAUAAAUAGUAGUCUCACUCACAGAUGUUGAGUGUGUGACUCUCACAAGCCUUCCAGGCUCACACAAACCUCCCCAUCAGCGCCCCUGGCCCUCAGAGACCCAAUUAAACAAACACAGGGUCCGCCCGAGAGCAAACGUGGGACAGGAGCCCCGUGUAGAAGGUGGUUCUUACGACUCCUCACUUAGGAGAGUGAACUCUCGUCUCCACUCUGCACGCUGGGGACGCCAGCUUAGGUGCUAGAAUUAGUGCAGAGACAGUUCAGCCUGACUGAUUGCCCGGGUGCUCCUGCCUGGGCCGGGCAGGGCUCCCACAUUUCAGGCCCCCCCAUAGAGGUGGAGAUGAGGGGGGUUCAUCCUGGCCUCUUGCGUCAUCCUCUGUAUUUGGCUUCCCCUCCACCUGUCGUCACCCAUUCCUCAUGCCAGGCUCUCUGGGCACAAGGGGCCAUUCUCAGGGGCCCACCUUGAUGUGGGAGAGGGGCCUGUUCCAUUAGGUAGGUCUUAGCGCCUCCACCUGGGGCCUCCGUGACCACUUUGUCGGAGGAAGCCCCUGCCUCCUGUGGAGUCUCUUCCUGUUCUGUCACCCUGUAGUCUUUUCUUCAUGGGCUUUAUCAAAUCUGUGAUCCUACUCAUGUGAUUAUUGAUCAUCUCCCCCAUGAAAGCCAGCUCCAUGGGGUCAGGACUACGGCUAGUCCAAGGCUGGGGCUCCAGGACGUCGCACAGUAUAGAACAUAGAGUAUACUUAAUACGUUUUCACUAAGUGAGGGAGUGUAGGAAUCAAUGGAUGGAUGGAUGGAUGAAAACUUCCCCUGGGACUGUAAGUAGGUGCAGCUCAAAACUCACCUGUGUCAUGUCCUGUCUCUGUCCAAGCUUGCCACGUCUGAGAACUAACGAAGAACUCAUUGGUGCUAAUAAAUAUGUAUUAGUUCUUUUAAUAUGAGAUGUGCAUAUUUUAAUGAGGAAUGUCUAAAGACUCAGGUUUUUCAUCUGGGGAAGUGACCCCAAUAAUGAGAAUGCAAAGUGAUGGUGAUGAGGAGAUGUGGGUAUUUAGGGCACGGAGGGCUGGAAGGAUGUGUCACAUCACAGAAUUGAGAAGGCCUCCUGGGUGCGGUGUAGGGUGGCGGGGGUGGGGUGCUCCGUAGUGGAACCCAGCACAGGACCAGAGUGAGAUCCCAGCUCAGCCUCUGCCCAAAUAUCUGACUUCCUUGGCCUCAGCGUUCCUAUCUGUAAAUGGGGAUCGUAACCCACCCCUGACAGGGGUAUCAGGAAAGGAAUUCUGUCCUUUGUGAAUCAGUCUCUGCUCACCAGAUAGAAGAGGUUAUGGUAAUGAGCAGGAGUGGCUCUACCUGUCACAGAUGGAAUAUUUUUGGUUUCAAGAAACAGAAAACUCUCUGCUCUUUUUGAUGAUGGCCUUGUUGACAGGUGUGAGAUGAUGUCUCAUUGUGAUUUUGAUUUGCAUUUCCCUGAUAUUAGUGAUGUUGAGCAGCUUUUUAUGUUCCUGUUGGCUAUCUGCAUUUCCUGUUGUGGAAAAAUGUCUGUUCCAUUCUUCUGCCCGUAUUUUAAAUGGACUAGUUGGUUGGUUGGUUGCUUUUUAACUGAAGUACAGUUGAUUUAAA